rnacentral:tmRNA from 1 species
CCACUUCACAUUAAGCCGAAGAUCGCUAUAUGGGUUGUUGCCGGCUUCGGUCGGCUAUGGCGAUAAAAUGCGGCGUGCAAUAGGCACAACGGACCCGGGGGCAGUACCCGGCGGCUCCACCACCAAGCGCGGAAAUUGCGCGGUUGAUGACGGGGCCGAACUAGGAUCGACGUGUGCUCAAAGACGCAGUUUUCGCCCGGGCUGAGUAACCCGUUUAAGGCUCACAACACACAAGUGCCAAUGACAAUGAAGCACUCGCUCUUGCUGCGUAAUCUGACGGCCUAACGGCCAGAUCUUACAAAGCCAAAGCGCGGUUGGACCCACCGGGCAACAGAAGGGAUACC